rnacentral:rRNA from 1 species
GAUGAACGCUGGCGGCGUGCCUAAUACAUGCAAGUAGAACGCUGAAGGAAGGAGCUUGCUCUUUCCGGAUGAGUUGCGAACGGGUGAGUAACGCGUAGGUAACCUGCCUGGUAGCGGGGGAUAACUAUUGGAAACGAUAGCUAAUACCGCAUAACAGUAGAUGUUGCAUGAUAUCUACUUAAAAGGUGCAAUUGCACCACUACCAGAUGGACCUGCGUUGUAUUAGCUAGUUGGUGAGGUAACGGCUCACCAAGGCGACGAUACAUAGCCGACCUGAGAGGGUGAUCGGCCACACUGGGACUGAGACACGGCCCAGACUCCUACGGGAGGCAGCAGUAGGGAAUCUUCGGCAAUGGGCGGAAGUCUGACCGAGCAACGCCGCGUGAGUGAAGAAGGUUUUCGGAUCGUAAAGCUCUGUUGUAAGAGAAGAACGAGUGUGAGAGUGGAAAGUUCACACUGUGACGGUAGCUUACCAGAAAGGGACGGCUAACUACGUG